rnacentral:lncRNA from 1 species
AAGCUGAAUACUUCUGUCUCAGCCACCAGCUCUCAGGAACUUAUUGAAGUGGGAAAGGAAUGGAAGAUUUGUACUUUCUAAGAGAAGCACAUAGUCACAGAAAUAGCUGCUGAUGCUCUGGGAGGAUAGUGGAAGGAUUAUGAGUGAUCCGAAUCUGUAGUGGGAAUGACAAACAAAGUUUUUCCAUAAAUCAGUGUCCUGACCAACGUCUGACUAUGUCUGUUGUUGAUUAAUGAGAAUUAACUAAUUCUUGUUCUAAACCAAGGAGAACUGGAGAGAAGAAGCACAAGUCUGUUUGGAGUACAUUGUGGGUGCCAUUGUGUUCUCAACUUGGCUAGUGUAAAAAUAACAGAGAGAAAGAGAGAGAGAGAACUAACAGGAUCCAAAUGCCUUCAAUCUCUCUAAAGAAGGUGAUGUCUGAAUAUAUGUUGUCAGAAUUAAGAGAGUAAGAAGGCCAGAACCAAAGCACCCAAAGUUCAGCAUCUUGUUACCACACAUGUCCUGCAGUACAAAUGACAACAUACUGUUCAGAAGAAAAAGCACACUAAGGAACAUAAGAAAGAGGCUAAAGAAUAUGCUAAACUUUUGAUAAAGAGAAAGAAGAAAGCCAAAGGAAAACACACCAUGAACAGGUAGAUUGGAAAGAGGCAUUGGCUGUGCUCACUGAGAGCUUCUACUUCUAAGUCUUAGUCCAGCCAAAAA